ACCGAAUAGAUACCCGGGUAGUCCACGCCCUAAACGAUGCGAACUGGGUGUUGGGUACAUUACGGUACUCAGUGUCGAAAGCUAAACGCGUUAAAGUUCGCCGCCUGGGGAGUACGGUCGCAAGACUGAAACUCAAAGGAAUUGACGGGGGCCCGCACAAGCGGUGGAGUAUGUGGUUUAAUUCGAUGCAACGCGAAGAACCUUACCUGGCCUUGACAUCUGUCGAAUCCUGCAGAGAUGCGGGAGUGCCGCAAGGAACGACAAGACAGGUGCUGCAUGGCUGUCGUCAGCUCGUGUCGUGAGAUGUUGGGUUAAGUCCCGCAACGAGCGCAACCCUUGUCCCUAGUUGCCAGCACGUAAUGGUGGGAACUCUAGGGAGACUGCCGGUGACAAACCGGUAGGAAGGUAGGGGUAGUGACGUCAAGUCCGU
rnacentral:rRNA from 1 species